rnacentral:rRNA from 1 species
UGUCCUACGGGAGGCAGCAGUGGGGAAUAUUGCACAAUGGGCGAAAGCCUGAUGCAGCGACGCCGCGUGGGGGAUGACGGUCUUCGGAUUGUAAACCCCUUUCAGUAGGGACGAAGCGCAAGUGACGUACCUCAGAAAGCCCCGGCCCCCC